rnacentral:rRNA from 1 species
ACGUAGGGUGCGAGCGUUAAUCGGAAUUACUGGGCGUAAAGCGUGCGCAGGCGGUCGUUUAAGCCAGAUGUGAAAUCCCCGAGCUCAACUUGGGAACUGCGUUUGAAACUACAAGACUAGAAUAUGUCAGAGGGGGGUAGAAUUCCACGUGUAGCAGUGAAAUGCGUAGAGAUGUGGAGGAAUAUCAAUGGCGAAGGCAGCCCCCUGGGAUAAUAUUGACGCUCAUGCACGAAAGCGUGGGGAGCAAACAGGA